UUCGCUUCUGCUUUCACAAGUACAUUCCCUUGAGGAAGUCAGAAGGGCCUGACGCCUACAGAGAGGAGGUGUAUGAAUGUGUCGCCAAAAUGGCAUCGGUAUUCACCGCUGUCCUGAAUCCGGAUUGGAUAGACGCGAAGAAC